UAAAAAACUCCUCUGUAAUCUGCUGAUGUGCAAAGGUAAACUAGGUCCAGUGAUGCCGGGAUAGAGAUGGAUGGUAUAUGAAGUUCUUUGAGGCACUGGCUUUGCUGCAGCAGAGACUUUCAGAGUAGGAAGCCACUGAAGAUGAUUAUUUUUCCUGAUGCAGGAGGGAUACCCAAGGCUGAAAUGUUCUAUUUGCACUCCCAAAUCAGCAGCAGAGAUGUUCAAGAGAGGAUGCUCACGUGUCAAAACUCUCUCUCUGCUCCCCAGAGUAGCAUGGCUGUAUGGGAAAGGGUGUUCAGGGCCUGAAAAAUCUCUCAGUCUAAAGCCACAGAGAUGUUUGAGGGUCAGUCUGGACUGGAUUGCCUACCAGGCACAUCAGAAAGACAGUGAAAGGAUUCGGCUCAAGGCAAAAACAUAACUUGCAUUUUUGGGUUUUCUGGAGGAGGAGAAGCUUUAUAUCCACAUGGGAAAGCACUUCCAGUGCUGGAAAUCACAUUGCAAGUGGUCUGUACAAAUGAUCCUUCCUUAAAAGAGAAAACUUAGCAAGGUGAGUCAGUUUAAUAAUAAUUUUCUGGAGAAGCUAUGAACAACCCUAAGCAAUAAAGAUUUUUGCCUUUAAUACUUUUCAUCCUCUUAUUUUCUAAUGAAAAAAGAAAGAUAGUGUGAGAAGGAAGGAAGGAAAGAAAAGCAUGUUUUUCCGCGAUUUAUGUGUGUUUCAGUUCAUGAUGAAUGAUCAGAGGUAGUGUGCAGGUAGAAUGGAUUUUUAGCAGCCAAGCAACUUGCCUGGGUAAGAUUUUUCUCCUUAAUGCCAUUUAGCACUACUAUUUUUGGGUGAGAUGUUAAAGAGAGAAAAAAUGGGCCAUGUGAAAAUAUGCCAUGCCAUGCCUAGAUGCAAUUUCCAUGUGAAUAAUUUUAAAUCUUCACUUGCAAGAUGUCAAAUGUUAGGGAACAAAUGCAGACAACCUUAGCUUCUUCUCUGAAGGAAAUCGUAAGAACAAGUUCACGUUUUUUGUCUGCCUGCGUACCAGUCCCCCUCUUGCCUGUCACAUUUCUCCCACUCUAUGUUGUAUGGAUUUUAGCUAAGCCAAGGGAGAAGUGAAAAACAGAAGUAACAGUUCCUACCAGCUCUGUAAACCAGCCACAUGAAGACAUAAGCAAGACCACAGGAAGAACCUCCUGUCUCUUAUCAGGUAACAAAACACUCCAGGUAGAAGAGAGAGCUUAUCAAUGGCCUAGUUUUGAGAUGGCCUUCAGUGAAUGUUGCACUUAAAUAAGUCUUCAAGUCCUUGAUCUCAGUGCUCAGCAGCACUUGUUGAUAUAUUCUCCUACAAUCACCUUAUCACAAAAGAAAAGAUAAUGCACAAUGCUGAUACUGUAACUCUAUACUAUUGAUAGCAGUGACAGUAUUAUAUAAGCAUUUUAUUCAGAGUUCCUGCUCUGUGUUGUACUCUCUUUUUUUGUACCCUUUCUCUUCUCUCUGCUCAAUGGCAUGCACGCAGACACUCCACAAAAGUUUUGGCAGAGUUUAGUUUUGGAAUCCUGGUAUUGAGAGUAACAGCUAGAGUUUUUGCAGGGAGAAACACUGGGCACAUAUUUCAGCAAUGGGCUGGGACUCGGCAGGCUGAUAUUUAAUUCCUCAUGCUCUGCAUCUUCUGUGCUUUUGUUCCUUUCUCUCUAGAAUGGGAAUAAUGAAGUUUCCUUUUUCACACCUUUUUUCAUGUAGAUUGUAAUGGCUAAGGUUCCUCAGGCCUAGCAAAGGUCUGAUCCUGUGUGAACACUCGGAAAACCCCUCCUUGGCAGGGAGAAGUAGAGAGGAAUAUUGCUUCUUGCUCAGCCAAGAACUGCAGAGCAUAUGUUUUGCUAUCCUUAUCCAGACAAGGCUCAGACUCAGUGAAAGCAUCAUCAAAAUGAGUGCAAUCAGGAGAAUUUGGAGCUCAGAAAAGGUGCCAGACUGACAACACUGGAAACUCAGUCUCCAUUUAUCUGCAGGCUGCUGGGUUUUCAUAGAGUCAUAGAAUGGCUUGGGUUGGAAGGGACCUUAAAGACCGACUACUUCCAACUCCCCUUGCCACAGGAUGCCAUACACAACAUACAAGUCACUCAGUCUCAUUCAGCCUGGCCUUGAAAAUUUCCAGGGA